AAAGGAAGCAGGCAGAAAUUUGUCAGUCAGGGCUGCACUACAGCAGAAUGGAGGUCUUCUGGACACUCACAACCCUCCUGCUUGUCGCUGGGACCAGCCAGUCAGGACCUCUCCACUGCCUGCAUCGCAGGACCCAACUCAAAGGCUUCUCGGACCACCAUGUGGCACUCCCUUGCUCCUUCAACUGGACGGGGACAGAGCCCCUGGAGUACAUGGUGGUCUGGAAUGUGGCGUUCACCCAUCAGGGCAGGAAGACCAUGGUGCACGGACAGGAGAACAGGAAGGAUGUGGAACAGGACUCGAUGUUCAACGGCAGGACCAAACUGGGGGAAGCUUGGUUCGUCAAAAGAAAUGCCUCCCUUCGUCUUCGCAGACUGAGCCCCAGCGACGAGGGAACGUACACGUGCCAGAUCACCACAAUGAACCCGCACAGCAGGAAGGUGUGCGCAGAGGUGGCCUUAACUGUGCAGAAAAGUGAGUGGAACUGUUCCCCCAAUGGAGGCCUCCAGAACCUGGGGCAACAUCUCUGUCGAAAGGAUCAGGGCCACAUAGAAGAAGUAACAGAACCAAGGAAGACUCCGGUCUGAGCUGCGGGAAUUCAACCCGAGCGGAAAACCAGGAUAGGGAACGAAGGCUGUUCCCCAGACACAGCAGCGGAACCAGGCACGGACCCCAGUUCUUAAUUAUCGCCUGGAUGUCGGUCCUUCUGCUGCCUUACCUCCACACCGACUGAACCCCUGCACAGCGUUUUAUUCUGAGUGCAGUCAACCGCGGACUGCUUCACCCUUGUCCUAGGGACCCUGCACUGAGGUCAGCAACCAGUCGUUGGGGGGGGUGUGACUGAGAAGGUGGUGUUUGUGUAUGAAUACCCUCGCAAACCUGCCUACCUCCCGAUCCCUGGCCCUCCCUGAGGUCUCAACGGACAGCCAUCGCCUCAUCAGCACCGGGUUCGGCCGACUUCACACAAUGGCUGCCGAGUCUCGAGUCGUUCUGAGCGUCUGCACGUGAAAGUUGGACCUGAGGGUUGCUUCUAUUUUCCUCUGGAAAGUUUGUCUCCUCGAAGACCUGCCUUUUAAUUUGUCUUUCUGCAGCCAGUUGUCCCUGACGACACCAACAUUUACUGCCUAUCGCUCAGAUUCCCCUGAGGAAGUUGGGAUGAGCUAGCUUCUUGGUGGCCGUCACCGGGAACACAUCACCCCAGCACAGCCCUCCUGAGCAGCUGAAUCACGUUCCUGAUGGUGGUCAGAUCAUUCUGAGAAUUCCUGUUGGGACAGAGAAUCCAAGGGGUGCUGGGGUAAACCUGGGCUUGGCUGAUGGUGGGGGUGCGAAGUCCAGAGAAGGGACCAUUAACAGACCCAGGGAGAUGGAGGCUGGAAUGGGGGAGGUUUCGGGGAUUAAUGAUCUACAGAAUCUUGAGAUACAGUGGGACAGGUCCCUUGGAGGGGCUAAGGUGAUCAGAACACCCCAUGUGCAGAAUUUGGGCAUUUACUAACUGCCCCUUCUGGGAACAAGCCACCUUCUGGAUCCGUUGAAGUCCUUCUGGUGCUGUUGAGGAGGGAGUUCCAGGAUAUCGACCCAGAGCAAGCAGGGAUGGUGACCUGCUUCUCUUUCCCCUGCUGGGGGGGAAAGGUGACGGGGUUUGGGAGGUGGUGUCAGAGUAGCCUGGGCGAGUAACAUAGAACAUAGAACAGUACAGCACAAUACAGGCCCUUCAGCCCACAAUGCUGUGCCAACCUUUAAACCUCACCUAAGACUAUCUAACCCCUUCCUCCCACAUUUCCCUCUAUUUUAAAUUCCUCCAUAUGCUUAUCUAGUAAUCUCAUGAAUUUGACCAAUGUACCUGCCUCUACCACCGCCCCAGGCAGUGCAUUCCAUGCCCCAACCACUCUCUGGGUAAAAAAACCUCCCUCUGAUAUCUCCCUUAAACUUCCCUCCCAUUACUUUAAAGCCAUGCCCUCUUGCAUUGAGCAUUGGUGCCCUGGGAAAGAGGCGCUGGCUGUCCACUCUUAUCUAUUCCUCUUAAUAUUUUGUACACCUCUAUCAUGUCUCCUCUCAUCCUCCAAAGAGUAAAGCCCUAGCUCCUUUAGUCUCUCCUCAUAAUACAUACUCUCUAAACCAGGCAGCAUCCUGGUAAAUCUCCUCUGCGCCCUUUCCAACGCUUCCACAUCCUUCCUAUAAUGAGGCGACCAGAACUGGACACAGUACUCUAAGUGUUCACGGUACUCACAGUACUCUAUUGUUGCUGGUAUGUAACAGGUCUAACCAGAGAUGUACCUUGUGGCUCUUAAACUCAAUCCCUUGACUUAUGAAAGCUAACACCCCAUAAGCUUUCUUAACUACCCUAUCCACCUGUGAGGCAACUUUCAGGCCUCUGUGGAUAUGGACCCCCAGAUGCCUCUGCUCCUCCACACUCACCAGAAUCCUGCCAUUAACUUUGUACUCCGCCUUGGAGUUUGUCCUUCCAAAGUGUACCACCUCACCACAGGGGGGUUCUAUGGACGGUGCACACCACGGCCACCGUGCUGUUUAGGUAAGGGGUGAAUGGGGAGCCAAUUAGCUGCUUUGCUUGGGGUUUUCCUCAAGAAGACCUCCAGUCACGCUUUACGCUGUUAGCUAACCUGGAGAGCAUCCCCUUCCCCAUUGGCUGAAGGGCAGUGGGACGCUCCAGGAUGGGCAUGGCUUGCACCCAACGGGAAAAGUGGACGAGGACAAGUCAAUCGGAGGUAAGAGACCCUGGGCGAAUCCAUCCUCAUCAACCUGACAACACUAACCUUUUGUUGGAGAGACUUUUAUUAACUUUGUUCUAUUCAGAAUCUAAACCUGUCUUUGUAAUGAAUUUAUGUCCCAACUGGUCCAAGAACUGGUACCCAGUGACUAGAGCCUGGCAGGUAACAGGUGCAGGGAUAAGGACGAUACCUCCUGCAGUUGAAUUGCCUGCAGAGGUGAACAGUAGAGCCUGGAAUUAUUGUCUUUCUGGGCAUGCAGAUGGUUUUAAGGGGCUCCCUCCCACUCUGGGGGAGCA